rnacentral:rRNA from 1 species
GAAUUAAGCAUAUAAUUAACCGGAGGAAAAGAAACUAACAAGGAUUCCCUCAGUAAGGGCGACUGAAGCGGGAAGUGCUCACCGUGUGAAUCUGUACAACAAUUAUGUUGUGCCGAAUUGUGGUCUGUAGAAGUAUUGUCUGAUGGCGUCCCGGGUUAAGUCCUUUGGAAAAAGGCAGCAGAGAGGGUGAGACUCCCGUUCUUGCCUGGGACGUUCGUCAAUGGCACAUGCCUUCAACGAGUCGAGUUGUUUGGGAUUGCAGCUCAAAGUGGGUGGUAAAUUCCAUCUAAAGCUAAAUAUUGGUGGGAGACCGAUAGCGAACAAGUACCGUGAGGGAAAGAUGAAAAGAACUUUGAAAAGAGAGUUAAAGAGUACCUGAAAUUGCUGAAAGGGAAGCAAAGGAAACCAGUGUUGUUUGUGCUCAUUUUUCUCCUGCUGCUUGCAACAGGGGCGCUGUGAGUACGAAUAGGCCAGCAUGGGUUUGGACCGGGGCAAAUCUUUACAUUGGAGGUAGAUCUAUUUCAGAUUGAAGACUUUGUAUUUGUGCUCUGGUUUAGACUGAGGCUAGCAUGUGUGAUGCUGGCGAAAUGGUUUUCUUUACCCCGUCUUGAAACACGGACCAAGGAGUCUAAGAAAUUUGCGAGUAUAGGAGUGGCAAACUCCCAUGCGUAAUGAAAGUAACAGUGGUAGGACUCUUUGAGGCACUAUCCGCCGGCCACAAUCCUUYGGGAGAAAGGUCUGAGUGUGAGCAUACUUCUUAGGACCCGAAAGAUGGUGAACUAUGCCUGAAUAGGGUGAAGCCAGGGAAACU